CCAUGUUGACGCUUGUCGCGGAUAAAACCUGCGUUAACUCCUCUCGUCUGACAGAUGAACGUUUGUAAACACACAGCGAGCUGAGUUGCAGAGGGGGAGAAGGAGCAAAGCCAAAUUAUAAAAUUAUAAUGAUAAUUUAGAAGAAAAAAAAACAAUGAGAUUUUUAGAAGCAACGUGCAUCUGAAAACCUUGGAGCCCGGCGGUACAGAAUUACAGUUUAAUUAUUGGAGAAGAAGAGGAAGACGAAUAACAAAAAUAAAUGUGAUAUUCAGAACUUACCUGUGGCACACCUGAAUCCAUUCUGCGUCAGAGAGUCAGACUGGGGGUUUCUGACUCAGGACAUUUAUUCAUUCCAUGUGGCUCGUCCCCACAGCCGUCGACAAGAUAGUAAUAAUGUGCAAUGUUUAGGAGUGUGUGUCAGCGAAAAACUUCCGUUCUGUUUGUUGGUCUGUAACGACAAAGGAAAGUUUUGUUGUGGAAGUUGCAGUGCAGGCGCACCACACCACACCACACGGGCGGACGGGACAAACUUCUUUUGAGCGCUGGUGUGUGAGUCUGGCUCCCGUAACGACGAUAGAGCGCGACGACUGGCCUCCAUUUAAAAACGCUGUAACACAACAACAGGGCGCCACAACCGAAACAGCCGUUUCCGAUAUUUAGACGGAACGGCAGCCAUUAACCGACUCUCCGUCUUCCCACCCACACGAGAACAUCACGCAAGAACACAUUCAAGCUCCAUCCCUUCAGAUUAUUUUCUCACCCCGGCAACGUUCUGCAAUCUGUACUUGCUGCGUACUUCGGCGAUUUUCUCGGACACGAGAGAGUGACAAGUUGAGAGAUAGGCCGACUGGAGACACACGAAAACUAAAUGAUUGUGACUGAGCGGUGAGAGUAAAGACACCCAGUCUUUUCCUCCUAUAAAAACGAGAAGAAGAAGAAAAGCAACCCGAAAGACAAUUUGGAUAAGACUUGCUAAAGAAAACGUACACGCCAACGUGUAAUAAAUCACGUUUUCUCCCAGGAAGAGACUUUGGCCAGGAAACCCAAGACGAGGUUCCCGUUCCUCUAUCUCCCUCAACGCCAGCCGGCAACGUUACUGUAUAAGUCAUACGUGUGAAUCGUGUGAAUAAAAAGACAUUUUUCCCA